UAAAUAAGUAAAAGAACAAAAUUAAAUGAUUUUUUAAAAAACAAAAAGGAAUAAAAUAAAAUAAACAAAAAAAAAAUAUGAAAGGGUGAAGGCGUUGCAGCCUUCACCCGAAACCAGUUGUAAAAAGAAAAAAAAAAAACAAGAGAAGCCACCCACUCAAAUUCCGUUGAAUAAACCCAGUUUCUGGCGAGAUUUUCGGGCAGCAAGGGUGCUACCUACACCCAUACUUCAUUUGCCUACAAAGAGAAGAGAUUAAGAUUUGAACUUGAAUUGAAGAGGUGGGGUUGACAAGAAGGGAUUGGAUUGGAGAUUGAAGAGUUGAGCAAGGUUGAUUAAACUUGGAGGAGUUGGUGAUGUUUUGCUCAAACGAGGUGAUAUAGGUACUAGAGCCAGUGCUCCGACUACGGAUCAGUGGGGAAAGCGUGAUGCGGAUGACCUGGACUUGUGAUGGUGAACAGGUUGAGGAGUAGUUGUCGAACGUGUGAUCUGGGUGUAGUCCAUUUUACUCUAUUUGCACUUUGAAUUUCUAGUAGAACUGACUUGUUUACUAAGAUAUUGAUUAAUUCCGUUCUUAAACAUAUUAUGAUGCUUGGCAUGGUAUUCUUGGAUAUGUUUAAGGAUUAUGUCCCUUGCUCUUUGGGCGUUUAGACACUG